rnacentral:lncRNA from 1 species
CUUGAUAAAUUGAGAGAUCCAGAAAGAUUUUUGGUUUCUUCAAGAAUCAAGAAAGAAAGAUCAAAAGAGUUCACAAUUUCAAGUCUAUCCAAGCUUGGUUCAAGCCUAUUCGGGCUUUUGAUUCAAGCAAGCAGGAUUAAAAGGAGCCUAUUCAAAUUAGCCCUGUUGAUACUUAUAGAGAUAGGAUGCUUGUGUUGCUGAUUUAAAAUCUAUUCUGCCCC